AUUGAACGCUGGCGGCAGGCUUAACACAUGCAAGUCGAGCGGAGAGAGGUAGCUUGCUACUGAUCUUAGCGGCGGACGGGUGAGUAAUGCUUAGGAAUCUGCCUAUUAGUGGGGGACAACAUUUCGAAAGGAAUGCUAAUACCGCAUACGUCCUACGGGAGAAAGCAGGGGAUCUUCGGACUUUGCGCUAAUAGAUGAGCCUAAGUCGGAUUAGCUAGUUGGUGGGGUAAAGGCCUACCAAGGCGACGAUCUGUAGCGGGUCUGAGAGGAUGAUCCGCCACACUGGGACUGAGACACGGCCCAGACUCCUACGGGAGGCAGCAGUGGGGAAUAUUGGACAAUGGGCGGAAGCCUGAUCCAGCCAUGCCGCGUGUGUGAAGAAGGCCUUAUGGUUGUAAAGCACUUUAAGCGAGGAGGAGGCUACUUUAGUUAAUACCUAGAGAUAGUGGACGUUACUCGCAGAAUAAGCACCGGCUAACUCUGUGCCAGCAGCCGCAGUAAGAC
rnacentral:rRNA from 1 species